GUUUUAUUUAUUUUUCUCCAUCACUUACCCUUUCUUCCUCCAUUUCCUUUCAUUUUCUUCUUAAUAAUCGUGAGUUCUUCUUGUGUUUCAUGUAAAUGGAAUAUUCAUGAUUUGUUUUUAUAGUUUAUUUAGUCUCAUUUCAUACAGUUUCUUUCUCCACUCAUUUUCUUGACAAUAAUUUACUUCCGAAUCUUGAAAAAACCAGCAAAAAUGGUGGCUAAGAAGACAAGAAUUGUGAUUAUUGGAGCAGGAAUGGCAGGUUUAACAACAUCAAAAAAGCUCUACACUUCUUCAAAAAGACAUGUUCGAGCUCUAUGUUGUUGAAGGAGGUUCAAAAAUCGGCGGCAGAAUCAACACGUCAAAAUUGGGCGGCGAUAAAUAGAGAUGGGCGAUUUGGCGGUACGUGGAUCCACGGCAUUAGUGAAAAUCCAAACUAUUAUACGGACAAUGAAAAUAAAUGUAGCUGAAGGUGAUGAUAGAUAUAGUGGAUCUUAACGCCAUUAGUGAAAAUCCAAGGUUUGAUUUGAUACUUAUAAUAAAUAGGUAAUCCAUGGUUUGAUUUAAUACUUAUAAUAAAUAUGUUUAUAUGAUGAGAUUGUGCAAUUAUGCAUGGAGAUUGGAGGGUUUGUGUAACAUGCAUUUUAAAAUGGUAAGUGGCGGGUUAGUUUCUUUUUGGAAUGACUAUUGGAAAACUGAAACUCUAGCUGUCAUAACCUUUCACAGAUUGUAUAAUUUAUCAGAAGGAAGCUACAAUUCUCACGAUUUGCAGUAAUGGUUGGUUGUGGCGCCGAAGAUUGAGGAUGCAGAGAAGAUAGAAUUAUAGCAGAUGUAGACUUGGAUCAACAACAUAAGUUAAAACAUCUCACUUAAUGGCAGUGAUGAGGUGUUUUAGAAAUCAGGAAACAGAAAAUUCACACCGACCUCUUUUGUAAAGCUUCGCCAAGAUCAAACUCCUGCUACCAAACAAUUUUCUUUAGUCUGGAACUCGUAUUCUUCGCCUCGUCUGAAGUUCUUUUUUUGGACAGCCCUUCACGUACUUUCGAGAACUUUAUGGUGCAAUGGAGACACUUGAUUCAAGGGGAUAUAUACUUCAAAUUAUGGUGCUUGAUUUGCGAAUUGAUAGUUUGGGAACUUUGGAAAGCUCGCAACAAAAGAAUUUUUCAAUCAAAGAACACAUAUAUCUUUGCAAUUGUUCAAUGGAGCUUUACUAGAGCGGUUUUCUUUUUCAAAUGUGAUGAUGUUAGAUUUUCUUAUUCUAGCAUGGAUUUAUUUCAAAAUAUUGUAUUUUUAUGAACAAAAGUUUGUAUCCUCCUAAUUCAAAGAGGUAGCCUUUAGUGUGCGAUUUGCCAUUAAUAAUGCGUAAUUUCUUGA